rnacentral:lncRNA from 1 species
UGAGGCCCAAUCUACAAUUAAACAGAAAAUCCUUUCUGCACCCCCCUAUGUUUCCAUUCUGCAUCCCUGGCCACUUGGGCUUAGCCCAAUCGUUUUUUUUUUUAUUUUAUUUAUCAUUUAACUUUUAGUUUACUACAUUUUUACUUUCUAUUUCAUUUUUCUAUUUUUUUUAUUAUUUUUUUUAUUUUCUUUAUUUAUUUAUUUAUUUGUUUUUUUCUUUUUUUCAUUUGGU